UAGGCGAAUCCCGAAAAGCCUUAGAUAGAGUAGGAA
rnacentral:ncRNA from 1 species